rnacentral:rRNA from 2 species
GAAACAUCUAAGUACCCCGAGGAAGAGAAAUCAACCGAGAUUGCGCGAGUAGCGGCGAGCGAAAGCGCACCAGCCCAAACCCGGGCGCGUGUAAGCGGCAGGCGUUGCCGCCCGGGGGUUGCGGGACUCGCGUCCAGGUGCUGCCCACCUGGGAGCGGUUACAAAUCCACAUGGUAGCGGAACGGCAUGGAAGGGCCGGCCGCAGCGGGUGAGAGCCCCGUACGCGAAACCAUGCGGACCGCUGACGAGUAUCCCGAGUAGGGCCGGGCACGUGAAACCCGGUCCGAAGCCGGGGGGACCACCCUCCAAGGCUGAACACUCUCCUGUGACCGAUAGCGAACCAGUACCGUGAGGGAAAGGUGAAAAGCACCCCGAGAGGGGAGUGAAACAGUACCUGAAACCGUGCGCCCACAAGCAGUCGGAGCAGCCUUUGCGCUGUGACGGCGUGCCUUUUGUAGAAUGAGCCAGCGAGUUGCGGUGUGCGGCGAGGUUAAGUUUGGAAACGAGCCGCAGCGAAAGCGAGCCUUUAAGAUGGCGAGUGAGUCGCACGCUGCAGACGCGAA